GGACUCAGCAGUGAAGGAGCUGCUUGAUCUACAGCAGAGUCCAACCUGUCGACUGGAGACUCUGAGGUGGGAGGAGUCUUAGUGGAGCUGAGUGUGAAGAGGACAGUGUGUGUGGACGGAGGCUGAGCUGUGUCCUGAGGAUCCAGAGGCUGAAGCAGCAGCAGCUUGUGUGUAGUCUCCAAUCUACACAACCCCUAAUCUGCAUGUGUUUGUGAGAUGAAGCCGGAGCACCUGGAGAAAACACGGGGAGAACAUGCAGACUCCACACAGGAAGACCCAUCUGAACCGGAUUCAAACCAGCAACCUUCCUGCCCCGAUUGUGUUUAUUCACAUGAAGAAUGUGUUUAUUGAAAUGACACAACACAAGCAGAAUAUAUAAACCUUCUAUAAAGACUCACAUACAGUGUGUUUAAGUUUGUCUUUAUUAUUGUCCACCUUUGUCCCUCAGUCUGUCUCCAUGUGUGUAGAACCACAUUCUGUGUAGAUGUUUGUUUAUGAUCUUAAAGUUCCUGGAUUCACGUCACAAAUUGAUUUAGUUCAACACAAAGUUCAACACAUUGAAAUCACUUUGAGUUUAAAAUCAGAGUUUUGUCUUUGACACAAAAGAUCAAAACUCUGGACUUAAAAAUGGGACGUUUUCAUUUCUGCAUCAGGUGCAGAGCGGUGGUGGCUUUUCUACUUUUGACCCACAGGUGGCGCUGCAGUAUAACAGCAGCACAUCCCAGUCAAAGCCUUUAUAUUCAGUCUAUGAGUCAAACACAUGGAUCAUUUCCUCUGUGACAAACCAGAUGUAACGAGAAGAAAAACAUCUCAGAGAGAAAAGUUCUGUUUCUACUUGUCUCUGCUUUAAUGCUCAAUAAACAUCCUUCCACCGA